UACGGGGGGGGCGAGCGUUGUUCGGAAUUACUGGGCGUAAAGGGCGCGUAGGCGGUUCGCUAAGUUGGAUGUGAAAACUCUGGGCUCAACCCAGAGCCUGCAUCCAAAACUGGCGGGCUAGAGUUCUGGAGGGGGUAGCGGAAUUCCUGGUGUAGCGGCGAAAUGCGUAGAUAUCAGGAGGAAUACCGAUGGCGAAGGCAGGUCUCUGGGCUAUAACUGACGCUCAUGCACGAAAGCGUGGGGAGCAAACAGG
rnacentral:rRNA from 1 species